CAGAUAUUAGUUUUAUUAAAAAUAUUAAUUUUGGAGAUUAAAGAAAAAUUUUAUUUAUAUCUGA
rnacentral:tRNA from 1 species